GACGAACGCUGGCGGCGUGCUUAACACAUGCAAGUCGAACGGAAAGGCCCUGCUUUUGUGGGGUGCUCGAGUGGCGAACGGGUGAGUACCACGUGAGUAACCUGCCCUUGACUUUGGGAUAACUUCAGGAAACUGGGGCUAAUACCGGAUAGGAGCUCCUGCUGCAUGGUGGGGGUUGGAAAGUUUCGGCGGUUGGGGAUGGACUCGCGGCUUAUCAGCUUGUUGGUGGGGUGGUGGGUUACCACGACUUUGCCGGGUAGCCGGCCUGAGAGGGUGACCGGCCACAUUGGGACUGAGAUACAGCCCAGACUCCUACGGGAGGCAGCAGUGGGGAAUAUUGCACAAUGGGCGGAAGCCUGACGCAGCAACGCCGCGUGCGGGAUGACGGCCUUCGGGUUGUAAACCGCUUUCGCCUGUGACGAAGCGUGAGUGACGGUAAUGGGUAAAGAAGCACCGGCUAACUACGUG
rnacentral:rRNA from 1 species